GUGGGGAAUAUUGGACAAUGGGCGAAAGCCUGAUCCAGCCAUGCCGCGUGUGUGAAGAAGGUCUUCGGAUUGUAAAGCACUUUAAGUUGGGAGGAAGGGCAGUAAGUUAAUACCUUGCUGUUUUGACGUUACCAACAGAAUAAGCACCGGCUAACUUCGUGCCAGCAGCCGCGGUAAUACGAAGGGUGCAAGCGUUAAUCGGAAUUACUGGGCGUAAAGCGCGCGUAGGUGGUUCAGCAAGUUGAAGGUGAAAUCCCCGGGCUCAACCUGGGAACUGCCUCCAAAAAUAAUGAGCUAGAGUACGGUAGAGGGUAGUGGAAUUUCCUGUGUAGCGGUGAAAUGCGUAGAUAUAGGAAGGAACACCAGUGGCGAAGGCGACUACCUGGACUGAUACUGACACUGAGGUGCGAAAGCGUGGGGAGCAAACAGGAUUAGAAACCCGUGUAGUCC
rnacentral:rRNA from 1 species